rnacentral:misc_RNA from 1 species
GUGAAUCAUCGAAUUUUUGAACGCAAAUUGCACUCUCUGGUAUUCCGGAGAGUAUGCCUGUUUGAGAGUCAGUUUAAAUAAAAAUCUUUUUGGUUGCUGCCUUUCGUUGUGACGCACCGGAUUUUGGUCGUCUUACCUUCGGUUAAGUAACCUAAAAUUGUGCAUGUUUUUUUUCGAGCGUAUUUAAAUGAUAUUAUUUACGUUUGCGAUGUCGAAUACUAGGGUUGAUCAUCCUCAUGAU